rnacentral:rRNA from 1 species
GACGAACGCUGGCGGCGUGCUUAACACAUGCAAGUCGAACGGAAAGGCCCUGCUUUUGUGGGGCGCUCGUGUGGCGAACGGGUGUGUAACACGUGUGUAACCUCCCCCUGACUUUGGGAUAACUUCAGGAAAAUGGGGCUAAUACCGGAUAGGAGCUUCUGCUCCAUGUGGUUGGUUGGAAAGUUUCGGCGGUUGGGGAUGGUCUCGCGGCUUCUCGGCUUGUUGGUGGGGUAGUUGCUUACCAAGGCUGUGACGGGUAGCCGGCCUGGGAGGGUUACCGGCGACAUUGGGCCUGAGAGAGGGCGCAGACUGCUACGGUAGGCAGCAGGGGGGAAUAUUGCACAGUGGGCGGAAGCCUGAGGCAACAACGCCGGGUGCGGGAUGAUGGCCUUCUGGUUGUAAACCGAUUUCGACGGUGACGAAGAGUGAGUGACGGUAAUGAGUAAAGAAGCACCGGCUAACUACGUG